GGUUUACAACCCGAAGGCCGUUCACUCCCUCACGCGGCGUUCGCUUGCAUCAGGCUUUCGCCCAUUUGUGCAAUAUUCCCCACUGCCUGCCUCCCGUUAGGAGUCUGGGCCGUGUCUCAGUUCCCAGUGUGGCCGGUCGCCCUCUCAGGCCGGCUACCCGUCGUCGCCUUGGUAGGCCAUUACCCCACCAACAAGCUGAUAGGCCGCGGGCUCAUCCUUCACCGCCGGAGCUUUUAACCCCGUCCCAUGCGGGACAGAGUGUUAUCCGGUAUUAGACCCCGUUUCCAGGGCUUGUCCCAGAGUGAAGGGCAGAUUGCCCACGUGUUACUCACCCGUUCGCCACUAAUCCACCCCGAAAGGCUUCAUCGUUCGACUUGCAUGUGUUAAGCACGCCGCCAGCGUUCGUCCUGAGCCAGGAUCAAACU
rnacentral:rRNA from 1 species